rnacentral:rRNA from 1 species
UACGUAGGGUGCAAGCGUUAAUCGGAAUUACUGGGCGUAAAGCGUGCGCAGGCGGUUUUGUAAGUCUGUCGUGAAAGCCCCGGGCUCAACCUGGGGAAUUGCGAUGGAGACUGCAAGGCUUGAAUCUGGCAGAGGGGGGUAGAAUUCCACGUGUAGCAGUGAAAUGCGUAGAGAUGUGGAGGAACACCGAUGGCGAAGGCAGCCCCCUGGGUCAAGAUUGACGCUCAUGCACGAAAGCGUGGGGAGCAAACAGG